GAUGAACGCUGGCGGCGUGCCUAAUACAUGCAAGUCGAGCGAACGGACGAGAAGCUUGCUUCUCUGAUGUUAGCGGCGGACGGGUGAGUAACACGUGGAUAACCUACCUAUAAGACUGGGAUAACUUCGGGAAACCGGAGCUAAUACCGGAUAAUAUUUUGAACCGCAUGGUUCAAAAGUGAAAGACGGUCUUGCUGUCACUUAUAGAUGGAUCCGCGCUGCAUUAGCUAGUUGGUAAGGUAACGGCUUACCAAGGCAACGAUGCAUAGCCGACCUAAGAGGGUGAUCGGCCACACUGGAACUGAGACACGGUCCAGACUCCUACGGGAGGCAGCAGUAGGGAAUCUUCCGCAAUGGGCGAAAGCCUGACGGAGCAACGCCGCGUGAGUGAUGAAGGUCUUCGGAUCGUAAACUCUGUUAUUAGGGAAGAACAUAUGUGUAAGUAACUGUGCACAUCUUGACGGUACCUAAUCAGAAAGCCACGGCUAACUACGUG
rnacentral:rRNA from 1 species